CAUUAGGGGUGGUGGGUCCCCUCCGCAGCCUUGUUAUUUUUCCCGCUGAGGGGGCUGUCUGAUCAUUGCUGCUCUCAGGCACCUGUCUUUCCUCUCCGUCCCGGGAUGGAUCCAAGACAAGGGAAUAAAAGAAAUUAAAUAGUACAAGGAGAUCGGGUGUCUGGGCAACGUCUUGGAUAAAACCGUCCACUACAGGCUUAUUGUAAAACAGUUGUUUACAAGUUUGUAAAACAACUCACCAGCAUCCAGAAGCUUCCUCACACGCAAAUAGCUGAUGGUGAGCCUCAUAACAGAAGCCUUAUCAAGAUGCGAGCUCACAUUAUGGGGAAGUGGCAACUGAUGAGCAAGCUCAUAGAAAACUUCAGACUCUUUACUUCGUCGAGAUCUCGCGGCAUCUCUAGACUUUUCUUUUCGACGUUCAGAACUUAUUCUAUUUAACAAAAAAGGAGGAGGAGAGAAAAAGGAAAUUUACAUUAAGUUAGCUUGCCUUUGCUUGAAUAAAAUUAAUUUUACAUUUU